rnacentral:rRNA from 1 species
GAUGAACGCUGGCGGCGUGCCUAAUACAUGCAAGUCGAACGCUGGAAAUCUAGCUUGCUAGAUUGAAGGAGUGGCGAACGGGUGAGUAAUACAUAAGCAACCUACCCACGAAGACUGGGAUAAUCUCUGGAAACGGGGACUAAUACCGGAUAGGUAAUCGGAAGGCAUCUUCUGAUUAUUAAAGGUUAAAAACACUGGUGGAUGGGCUUAUGGCGCAUUAGUUAGUUGGUGAGGUAACGGCCCACCAAGACGAUGAUGCGUAGCCGGCCUGAGAGGGUGAACGGCCACAUUGGGACUGAGACACGGCCCAGACUCCUACGGGAGGCAGCAGUAGGGAAUUUUCGGCAAUGGGGGAAACCCUGACCGAGCAACGCCGCGUGAGUGAUGACGGCCUUCGGGUUGUAAAGCUCUGUUGUAAGGGAAGAACGGUAGAUAGAGAAUAUCUAAAUGACGGUACCUUACCAGAAAGCCACGGCUAGCUACGUG